rnacentral:rRNA from 1 species
AUUGAACGCUGGCGGCAUGCUUUACACAUGCAAGUCGAACGGUAACAGGGUGCUUGCACCGCUGACGAGUGGCGAACGGGUGAGUAAUGCAUCGGAACGUACCCAGUCGUGGGGGAUAACGUAGCGAAAGUUACGCUAGUACCGCAUACGUCCUGAGGGAGAAAGCGGGGGACCGUAAGGCCUCGCGCGAUUGGAGCGGCCGAUGUCGGAUUAGCUAGUUGGUAGGGUAAAGGCCUACCAAGGCGACGAUCCGUAGCGGGUCUGAGAGGAUGAUCCGCCACACUGGGACUGAGACACGGCCCAGACUCCUACGGGAGGCAGCAGUGGGGAAUUUUGGACAAUGGGCGAAAGCCUGAUCCAGCCAUGCCGCGUGAGUGAAGAAGGCCUUCGGUUGUAAGACUCUUUCUAGCCGGAAAGAAAGUACGCGCAGGAUAAUACUACUGCGUGGAUGACGUACCGGCAGAAGAAGACACCGGCUAACU